AGUCUGUUCAGAGGAAUUUGCCCCGUUAUCGAUAAUCCUCGUUUUAUCAUACUUGAUUUUGUUAUAUUUCAGUUUGUAUACCGUCGUUAUAAGUUUAUUUUUUAAGAAUUUAAAUUUGCUUUAAAUUUUAUUGGAUUUUAUUUCAGAUCAAGGUGCAGCUAAUAAUUAAGUGGAGGUGAAUUACAAUAUUAUUUGAAUAUUAUGGAUUUUAAAUUAAAUAUUAAUUUAAAUGAAGGUGGAUUUGAUAGUAAUUUUAUUUAUAUAAGUUUUUUGAUUAUUAGUUCUAAAAUAAGUACACAUCGCCCGUCGCUCUAU
rnacentral:rRNA from 1 species